rnacentral:tRNA from 2 species
GGCCCCGUAGCUCAAUUGGAUAGAGCGGCAGCCUCCGGAGCUGCAGGCUACUGGUUCGAGCCCAGUCGGGGUCACCA